rnacentral:lncRNA from 10 species
UUACAGAGCGCUGAAUGUUCCUUUUUGACAGGGUGCUGAUUGGUGCAUUUACAAUCCCUGAGCUAGACACAAAAGUUCUCCAUGUCCCCACUAGAUGAGCUAGAUACAGAGCACUGAUUGGUGCAUUUACACACCUUGAGCUAGACACAGAGUGCUGAUUGGUGUAUUUACAAUCCCUUAGCUAAACAUAAAGGUUCUCCAAGUCCCCACUAGACUCAGCAGCCCAGCUGGCUUCACGUAGUGGAUCCUGCACUGGGGUCGCAGGCGGAGCUGCCCGCUAGUCCGGCACCUUGCGCCCGCACUUCUCAGCCAUUGGGCAGUUAAUGGGACCGGCGCCGCGGAGCAGGGGGCGGCGCUGGUCGGGGAGGUUUGGGCAGCGCAGGAGCCCACUGCGGGGGCGAGGCUUGGGCAUGGCGGGCUGCAGGUCCUGAGCCCUGCCCUGUGGAGAGGCAGCUGAGGCUCAGCAAGAAUUCGAGUGCAGCGCUGGUGGGCCGGCACUGCUGGGGGACCCGGCGCACCCUCCGCAGCUGCUGGCCCGGGUGGUAAGCCCCUCACUGCCCGGGGCCCGCGCCGCCGGCGGGCGGCUCAGAGUGCGGGGCCCUCUGAACCCACACCCACCCGGAACUUGCGCUGGCCCGAGAGUGCCGCUCGCAGCCCCGGUUGCCGCCCACGCCCCUCCCUCCACACCUCCCUGCAAGCAGAGGGAGCUGGCUCCGGCCUCGGCCAGCCCAAUGAGGGGCUCCCACAGUGCAGCGCGGGGCUGAAGGGCUCCUCAAGCGCUGCCAGAGUGGGCGCAAAGGCCAAGGAGGCGCCGAGAGCAAGGAGCAAGCGAGGGCUGAGGGCUGCCAGCAAGCUGUCACCUCUCAAAGCAGUGUGAUGGAGGCAGCAAAAUGUGUGGAACCGUCAUUAUGAAGAAGGCAAUGCUCUCCUGCACCAGGGAGCUCUUCACCCCACAACUACAGAGCUCCUGUCUUCCAAGGUUCCCGAACUGUUCUGGGAAGUGCUCCUAAUCACCUGAGGUUUACAUACAAACAACCCCAGGACAUUUCAUUUAGCUACCAAUGUCAUGAUUACCAAAAAUUAAUUAACAAUAUGGUGGUCGUCAUCACAUCUGAGUCACCAAAUCAAAAUUCAGGACACAUUUCCAUGCAAAGUGCAGCCUUCUUCUUACGUUUCAUAAUUGUCAUUUCAAAUGAGAUCUUGGUUGGAAACAAUUGCUUAACUGUUUCAAGGUAUACUGGGUUAUCACUAACUCAUUUCUGUAAAGCAGAAUACAAGACCUCAACCUGUUAGAGAUCCUUUGUUGAUUAACAAGCUGAUUAAUAAGCUGAUUGUUCUCCUGAUUUAAGGCCUAUACCAAAAUUCUUGAAGCUCAAUUUGCACCACAGAGUACGCCAAUAUGUUUGAGUGAACUGGCUCUGGCUCUCCGAAGCUGUUUUGUAAAGACAAGAGACUAUAAGCCAUGGUCCAUCUCCUGAAAUCUCAUGACUGAACCCCUUUCCAGGCAUCCUGCUUUCAGGAUUGAUAAGGCACGACCUCAUUAAUCAGGAUAGGCAGUCUGCUGUAACAACUCACCCCAAAAUUUCAGUGGCUUGACACAGUAAGUUGAUUUCUUGCUUCAUAUAUUUCAAUUUAUGUAAACAUUCCUGGUUGGUAUGAUCUUUAAGGUAACUUCAUUCCAGCAGUGACUUAGACUCAAGCUGAUUGUAUCUCAUGAUUUCACAUUCCAUGGCUUCAAGGCUGUCCUGAUGUCAUCCCAACAUCAGAUGAGAAUGUAGGUGGAAGGAAGAGAAAAUAUGGAGCAUUGCACUUAGCACAGAGAGAUA